rnacentral:rRNA from 1 species
GGUAAGGCCCUUCGGGGUACACGAGUGGCGAACGGGUGAGUAACACGUGGGUGACCUGCCUCGAGCUCUGGGAUAAGCCUGGGAAACUGGGUCUAAUACCGGAUAUGACCUCAUGUCGCAUGGUGUGGGGUGGAAAGUUUUUCGGCUCGAGAUGGGCCCGCGGCCUAUCAGCUUGUUGGUGGGGUGAUGGCCUACCAAGGCGACUACGGGUAGCCGGCCUGAGAGGGCGACCGGCCACACUGGGACUGAGAUACGGCCCAGACUCCUACGGGAGGCAGCAGUGGGGAAUAUUGCGCAAUGGGCGGAAGCCUGACGCAGCGACGCCGCGUGGGGGAUGACGGCCUUCGGGUUGUAAACCUCUUUCGACCCCGACGAAACGAGAGUGACGGUAGGGGUAUAAUAAGCACCGGCCAACUACGUGCCACAGCCGCGGUAAUACGUAAGGUGCGAGCGUUGUCCGGAAUUAUUGGGCGUAAAGAGCUCGUAUGCGGUGUGCGCGUCCUCGUGAAACCUGCGGCUUACCGUGGGCGUGCGGUCGUUCUGGCAUCUCUGGAGUUCGGCAGGGGAGACUGGAAUUCCUGGUGUAGCGGUGAAAUGCGCAGAUAUCAGGAGGAACACCGGUGGCGAAUGCGGGUCUCUGGGCCGAUACUGACGCUGACGAGCGAAACCGUGGGGAGCGAACAGGAUUAGAUACUCUGGUAGUACACGCCGUAGACAUUGGGCGCUACGUGUGCGGAUCAUUCCACGGUCUCUGUGCCGCAGCUGACGCAUAAAGCGCCCUGCUCGGGAGUACGUCCGCAAGACUAAACUCAUAUGAUUGACGGUG